ACUUAGAGGGUAGACAUCACCUUGUGACUCAACAGCAGCCAAUAAGAUGGAAAUAAAGGCCAUGAAGUUAUCGGAUGGCAUCUACAAGGAAUACUUAGAUGAGGAGGUGACUCUGGUAGCAAUUGUUCUUUUGUCUUUCUCACCUUCCUUCUUGUCCUGUCUGGGAUGCUGAAGUGAUGGCUGGUAUACAGAUGCCCUGUUGUGAUGUUGAGAUAAACAUGAGAAUAAAAGUCGGCGAUUACAGAUGGCAGAGAAGAGAGAGAAAGAUAGGAUGUAGGUGGAUAUUGACGGAACUAAGUUUCUAUUGCACAAGUUCUACCACCAACCUCUGGACUUCAUGAUAUGUGAGGGAGAAAUAAACUCCUAUUUUAGAAGAGAUCUAUGUUACCUGCAACUGAACGGAAUGCUUAAUUGGCACAUCCUAUGUGCUCCAAACCUUCCUUAAUUUCUGUGUGUAAGGCAUACUUAGUCUUUACCCAUUAUUCUGUUCACAUUCAUUCACUUGAUCAGCCUCCCAACUCUAUGGUAAAGAGUUUACUACAGUUUACUCUAUUAGUAAGGGAGAUUCUGGAGCAAGCCCCACAAAUCAUAGAUUGAAUACCCAUUCAUUAAGAGAGAGAUUUAAAGAUACUUCUAUCCAAACACAUUUUAAAUUUCCAGCACCUUUGAGGUGGUGGAGGUUCAUGGUGGUUGAUAGGGUUUAAAUGACUUGUGAUUCAAGCUCCAUAUUACAAUGUAACAGUGCAAAAGUUCAUUUUUUUAAAUUUAUUUUACUUUAAGUUCUGGUAUACAUGUGUAGAACAUGCGGGUUUGUUACAUAGGUAUACAUGUGCCAUGGUGGUUUGCUGCACCUAUCAAACCGUCACCUAGGUUUUAAGAACCACAUGCAUUAGGUAUUUGACCUAAUGCUCUCCCUCAUGUUGCCCCCCAACUCCCUGACAGGGCCCAGUGUGUGAUGUUCCCCUCCCUGUGUCCAUGUGUUCUCAUUGUUCAACUCCCACUUAUGAGUGAGAACAUGUGGUGUUUGAUUUUCUGUUCCUGUGUUAGUUUGCUGAGAAUGAUGGCUUCCAGCUUCAUCCAUGUCCCUGCAAAGGACACGAACUCAUUCUUUUUUAUGGCUUCAUAAUAUUCCAUGAGUCUGGAUUUGGUUACAGAUAGAGCUGGACAAGCCUUAGCUAUAUCUAAUGGCUUUUGACAUGUUAUAUCAAUUUCUUACUGCUUUUGUAAAUGAAUAUAUUAAGAAGAAAAAAUUACAAAUGACCCUUUCUUCACAAACUUUUAG
rnacentral:lncRNA from 1 species